CUAAAUACUACCCAGUGACCGAUAGCGUAUAGUACUGUGAAGGAAAGGUGAAAAGAACCCCGGGAGGGGAGUGAAAAGAACCUGAAACCUUGUGCUUACAAGCACACAAAGCACGUCAAAGUGUGAUGUGGUACCUUUUGUAGAAUGGUCCGGCGAGUGAAUGUAGCUGGCGAGGUUAAGUUCUUAAGGAACGGAGCCGAAGCGAAAGCAAGUCUGAACAGGGCGUCUUAGUCAGUUGUAUUCGACCCGAAACCGGGUGACCUAUCCAUGUCCAGGAUGAAGUUAAGGUAAAACUUGAUGGAGGUCCGAACCCACGGUCGUUGAAAUGCCCGGGGAUGAGAUGUGGAUAGCGGAGAAAUUCCAAUCGAACCCGGAUAUAGCUGGUUCUCUCCGAAAUAGCUUUAGGGCUAGCCUCGACUGAACAUUACCGGAGGUAGAGCGCUGAAUGGGCUAGGGGCCGAGAGGUUACUGAACCCUAUCAAACUUCAAAUGCCGGAAAAUGAUAGUCGGGAGUCAGACUGCGUGAGAUAAGUUUCGUAGUCGAAAGGGAAACAGCCCAGACCCACAGCUAAGGUCCCAAAGUACGGUUAAGUGGAAAAGGAUGUGGAGUUGCACAGACAACCAGGAUGUUGGCUUAGAAGCAGCCACUCAUUAAAAGAGUGCGUAAUAGCUCACUGGUCGAGUGACUCUGCGCCGAAAAUUUAACGGGGCUAAAUCGUACACCGAAGCUUGGGAUGUUAGAUGUUAGACAGUAGACAUUAGACAAUAGAUGAGGAGCUCAGAAAUGAACGGUUAUGAGAAAUUGCAGGUGUAUCAAAGAGGAUAUGCGGCAGCGAAAAGCGUUUACAGGAUGACGGAGAGUUAUCCGAAAGAAGAGCGCUAUGGAAUAACCGAUCAGAUGAGACGAGCAGCAGUAUCAGUAGCAUUGAAUAUCGCAGAAGGAUAUGCAAAGAAAGAUAGUCAGCCGGAAUUUAAAAGAUUUCUGGAAAUGGCAAAAGGUUCUGCAUAUGAAAUGAGUGUCUUGAUAGAUUUGUCAAGAGAUUUAGGAUAUAUCAAUGAUGAAAAGCAUGACAAAGCAUUAAAAGAGUAUGAAGAAAUCUCAAAGAUGCUGAGUGUACUGGUAAAGCGCAUAAGAUCCAAUAUCUAAAAUCUAAUAUCUAGCGUCUAACAUCUAACAUGGUAGGAGAGCGUUGAAUGCGGGGUGAAGUCAGAGCGAAAGCGCUGGUGGACUGCAUUGAAGUGAGAAUGCCGGAAUGAGUAGCGAGAUUUAUGUGAGAAUCAUAAAGGCCGAAAGACUAAGGUUUCAGAAGGAAGGUUCGUCCGCUUCUGGUUAGCCGGGAGCUAAGGUGAGGCCGAAAGGCGUAGCCGAUGCACAUACGGUGGAGAUUCCGUAGCCGUCAAAAUAUUUAAGCAAAGGGACACUUAUGAAGGGCAUGACCCGGGCGAUGGUAGCCCCGGGCGUAAGGGACCGAAAAUAAGUAGGGAAGCAUGUUUGGAAUAAGGCGAGAAAAGCUUUGUGAAUAUAUGAGACGUCCGUACCGCAAACCGACACAGGUAGUCAGGAAGAGGAUUCUAAGGCCAACGGGAGAAGGGUAGUUAAGGAACUCGGCAAAUUGACCCCGUAACUUCGGAAUAAGGGGCGGUGCGUAAGCACCCGCAGUGAAUAGGUCCAGGCGACUGUUUAUCAAAAACACAGCUCUCUGCUAAAUCGAAAGAUGACGUAUAGGGGGUGACACCUGCCCGGUGCUGGAAGGUUAAGAGGAGGAGUGCAAGCUCCGAAUUGAAGCCCCAGUAAACGGCGGCCGUAACUAUAACGGUCCUAAGGUAGCGAAAUUCCUUGUCGGGUAAG
rnacentral:rRNA from 1 species